AUGGAGGGAGUUUUGUCCCCGGUUAUUUUUUGCUAUCUUCUCUCCUCUUCCAUGGCGAGAAGUUUGACCCCUGUUUUUCCCGUCUUUCCUUUAAGUUAUUUCCUUCCCAUCAUUUCCUUCCCAUUCUCUGCUAAUCCUACCGUUGUUUCCUUUAUAUCCUUCUAUGCCUUUCCAUUUAUGCCUUUCACACUUCACCAUAGUCACAUUUUUUUUCGCUCUUUUGCCCGAUCUUGAAGCUUCUUCGGCGUCGCCCAUAGUAAGGUAUUCCAAUAAUACCUUAGAAGAUUCCAUAGCAAAAGAAUUGAGGGAAUCGAUUUCCAAUCGAUUGGCUUUGGGAUCCGCUACGGUAUUAUUCACCCUCGGUUUUUGGCGCAGAGGUUGAUUUGUCUGAUAUACUAUCCGUAAUUACAAGGUCAUGGCUGCAGCACCUACACAAGUUAUGAUCCCCUUCCACCCUCUUCUUGAGCAGAUUACUACAUGCCUGAAUUUCCCUGCUCCUGUUUACCAGCUUAUAGAUGAGUCUAAGAAUAACGUGUGCGUGGUUGUCAAGACAAACUGUGGGCCGAUUGCGUAUGUUUAUGUUGGUGGGGAGGCUGAGAAGGUAGAGGAGUCAUGUGAACAGGCAUCCCAAAAGGUCGUUCGUGACCUUAUGAAGAAGUAUAAAGUCUUUGUUGAGGAUGUUACAUCCCGUAGAAGCUAGUUGUUUGCUAGGUGUGCUGGGUUAUAUCGCCUAAAGAGAUCUGAAUUGGAGCAUGUGGAAAAAGUGGCACCUAAGACCCCCCCUGUAUGAGGAAUUAUGUGAGGAUGUUGACAGUGUUUUCAAGUCUGUAACUGUUGAUUUUAUGUCGGUCUUGCGAGCUGUGUUUAGGAAGGUUGCGAUUUGCAGCACUCCCAUUGAAACCCUUGAGCAUAGCCCUGCCAAAUACACUUCCUGGUUCACCUUGAAAACUCAGCAAAAAAGUUUUGGUUUUGAGUGCAUUGUUGGUUACUGCUGCCCUAUCCUUUUUGCAGCUAAACAGAGCUUGGCAAAGAAGGCCCUUGAUUAUCUGGCGGUGCCUUGCAACUUUGAAAUUAUUGAUGCAAAUUAUAACCCCGUCAGUUUGAAAUUUGAUGCUCUGCUGUGUGCCCUUGAAAGGGAGAGUUGUUUGACAAUGAAGGAACAUGUUCUUGGGAUCAAAGAAGAUAUGGAACCUUCUUUGUUGCUUGUAGAGCAGGGCUGUCUCACUCCUCGUGGUGCGCUCUACCAAAUACCUACUAUUGCUUCUCCCCCUCAAGAAACGUAAGUCUCAGACACCUAUGGCCCCUUCUGUUAACUAGUAGAAAAACAUUCAUUUGAGGCGUCACUUUUAUAUUGAUUAGCGGCGUUUUAGGCGUAGCAGCAAAUGAAUGGUAUUGAUUUGCGGCGUUAAAAAACGCCGCAAAUUAAACAUUCAUUUGCGGCGUAAUUCCUGAAAAACGCCUCAAAUUAAUUGAAGUAUAUGGCGGCGUUUUGCUCCUAAACGCCUCAAACUUUGAUAAAAUUGCGUGAGUGUAACAUUGUAUUUGGGAACCAGCAAUGUUGAAAUAUACGGAAGUGUAACAUUGGGGAUUACACUAGAAAAGUAAAGCUGUAAAAAUCAAAAGCUUUUCCAUUGUUUGAUUGGUACACUUCUUUACACUUUUUCCAUAAAAAUUGAAUGCAAAACCGUGAAAAACUAUUUGACCAUAUUUGG